CUACGGGGGGCAGCAGUGGGGAAUCUUAGACAAUGGGCGCAAGCCUGAUCUAGCCAUGCCGCGUGAGUGAUGAAGGCCUUAGGGUCGUAAAGCUCUUUCGCUGGGGAAGAUAAUGACGGUACCCAGUAAAGAAACCCCGGCUAACUCCGUGCCAGCAGCCGCGGUAAUACGGAGGGGGUUAGCGUUGUUCGGAAUUACUGGGCGUAAAGCGCGCGUAGGCGGACUGUUAAGUCGGGGGUGAAAUCCCGGGGCUCAACCCCGGAACGGCCUUCGAUACUGGCAGGCUGGAGUUCGAGAGAGGUGAGUGGAAUUCCGAGUGUAGAGGUGAAAUUCGUAGAUAUUCGGAGGAACACCAGUGGCGAAGGCGGCUCACUGGCUCGAUACUGACGCUGAGGUGCGAAAGUGUAGGGAGCAAACAGGAUUAGAUACCCUUGUAGUC
rnacentral:rRNA from 1 species